rnacentral:rRNA from 1 species
UACAGAGGGUGCGAGCGUUAAUCGGAAUUACUGGGCGUAAAGCGUGCGUAGACGGCUAUCUAAGUCGGGUGUGAAAUCCCCGGGCUCCAACCUGGGAAUUGCAUUGGAGACUGCAAGGCUUGAAUCUGGCAGAGGGGGGUAGAAUUCCACGUGUAGCAGUGAAAUGCGUAGAGAUGUGGAGGAACACCGAUGGCGAAGGCAGCCCCCUGGGUCAAGAUUGACGCUCAUGCACGAAAGCGUGGGGAGCAAACAG